UUCAUAGUUGGGGUUGCCGCGCGCGCACCCGGCAGUGGGACCUGGAUAUCGCCGUGAGUUUCAGGGGCACUGUCCGGGGCCUCUUUAAGGAGUGCGCGUCGGGGGAGGAGGCGCACUUUGAGAAAGGGCUGGCCAAGGGGCAGGAGAACUUGAGUUAAGAAUUGCGCCGUUUCAGUUACCUGCGGUCAGCUGUGUCCUGAGGCAGAUGAUGCUCCUUCUGAUGAAAUGUCAGAAGGUCAGCGGGAGCCUAGUGCUAAGUCGCAGCGCUUACGUCAUUCACCUCACUUCAUCUCAUCACGUAGGCAUUUUAUCAUCUCACAUCAUCACAAGAGGAAGAAGCGUCACUGGUCUCUCAUCUGUUCUUCUACAUUUUGCACUGUAACAUCAUUCCUUUUUUGCCUUUUCUCCAUCAUGUUAUGGUGACUUCAAAAACACCUCUCCAGGACUGAUUGUGGAACUUCAAUGGCACCCAGUCACAUUCAGUAUGUUUCGAGUAAUUGCUGUUUACUGUUUAACAAUACUGUAGGAUUUAAGCUAUAGGUCCUGUCCUCAAGAAUCUAAAGGACUUUUGAGGAUACCAAGCACAUACGUGAAAUAAUGAAUAAGCGUUUAAUCCAUAGACGUUAACUUAAUAGGAGCUCAUGAGAAGGAAGAGGGUCCUUUGGGCCGGCCCAUCAUGGUAAAAGUACCUGAAGCAGAUGGGACUUAGCACACUGGAGAACAGAGAAGUCAUGGAAAGCUCAGUGUGGGGGGAAGUAGACUAAAAAGUCAUGGAGCCCAAAUUGAACAUGGAGGUGAUGAGUGGCCAUUGAGGAGAUUGACUUGAUAAGACUAGAAAUUCAUUAGUAAGGAAAAGGGAGUAUCAAGUGAAGUAUAAUUUGUGGACUUUGGGUAACUGUAGCAAAGGGAGUUAUAUGUUCUGAGAACAUAAUUAUAUAACUGUUAAAUCAUUUAUAUUUUGCAUUUAUGAAUUUAUGCAUAAAUACGUGGAUGGGAACACUGGAUCCUAUAAUUGUGUUUCUUUGUUUCUCAUCCUUGAAGCCAUUCUGUUGAUACCUGCCCCCCGCCCCCCACGCACACCUCACACACUAUGCAAAGCACUGUGUUAAGCAUAAAGCUCCAUGCAAUGCUUAUAAAUAUGAUUGAUUUUUCAGGGGGGAGGGGAGAUAGCAGAUUUUGUUCUGAGCACAUCCUUCUUACUAGAUAAAUGCGCUAAAAAGACUACUAUAUGGCCUUCUGCAUGGGGGAUAGAAAUUACUAGAUACAAAAAUUCCAUUAAUGAAUUCAGUGAGAACAAAAUUACGGUAACUAAGUGGUUUAAACACCAGAUUGUUCUUUAGAAAUGUCCACUUAAAAAAAAUGGACUAAGAUGCUUGGGCAAUUAAAAACAUAUCAGGAAUGAUAUAAGAAUAUCUCCUGAUAUAUAGGUAAGAGAGAUGAGUAAGGAGAAAGAAUUUGCAUUUAGUUAUAUUAUAAAAAGAAUAAUGAAGGUUAUUCAAGCCCCGAAUUUUAAAUCAUAGCAAACUAGAGUGAUAAAGAAUAAGAGAAUAAAAUUCAGUGGCUAUGGAGGCAGCAUGAAUUAUUGAAUAAGGGAAGCACUGAACUGAGAAUCUAUAAAAAUUUUGAAUUCCUUGUGCAAAUUCAGUUCCUCUGUUCUAAAGGGAUUCUACGAUCAUCAUCAACAACCUCAUCAUCAUCACCACCACCACCACCACCACCAUCACCAUCAUCAUCACCACCACCACCACCACCUUUUCCAGCUAGUUCUUGGGUUAUUUGCUCUCAGACCUCUUUCUUAAACUUUUCCUGUUCUACCCUGAGGAGCAGGAGGCCUGACUGCAUUUGCAAAGGUCACAUGUCAGCAAGCAUUUUGCAGUGUUGUCAGGAGAUUGGAGGGUGGGAGGAAGGGAGGAGAAGUCAGGUUAUUUCUCUACCCAGCUCUCUGCCUUGGCUGCUGCUUCUCCAUUAUUCUAGUCAUUUCAGACUGGCCCUAUUGCUCUGGCUUUAGUUAGGUGCCCCGGGCCCUGGGCUCUGGAACCACAAGCACCCUUCCUCUACUGGGCUUGGAGGAAGAGACUUCCUGUGUUGCUGAGCUCUCAGUUGCUUCACUGUUUCCUUUGGCUAUUCAUCUCUUUCAUCAUCUGUUCUAUAAAAUCCCCUCUGUUAAAUUCCCUCUGUUUUAAAUACUGUUUUUCUGGUCUUACCCUGACUGCUAUGCUGGUUUCCCAUGGAUAAUGCAAAGAAUGAAAUAGUAUAGUAGAUCAGUCUUAGAUAUGUGGAGAAAGGCACUCAUGCAUGUUCAAAUAAUAAUUUUUAUAUGAUACCUCAUGAAUCUAGAGUAAUCAUAUUUAACACUACAGGCUUUCACAGAAGUAUUACAAGGCUUACUCACGGGAUAAAAAUCUCCUGGUGGCUUGAAAUUAUCUCUAAGUAUUGCUUUCUAGAUUGUCAUAAAAUAUUGAUAAAUUCCCAGGUUCUGGAAUGUAUCCAAUGUAUAUAAUGUGAAAGCAACCCAGAUAAAUGCUUCUCAGUGUUAAAUUUAUUUUAGCUCCUUUGAUAGGGAUACAUGCUUAUUUUUGUAUGGACAAGUUAUUGUAAUACUUUCUCCGUUGCUUAAUUGAUUUGGCCAAAGAGCGGCACAUCGCGGUUGUAUCAGUGUGUACCUUUGUCAAUCAAGUAUAUCUGAAAACAGUACUGCUAAUACAGGUAAUAUUGUUAGAGCUCUGUUAGUCUGAUAUCCUUAAAGUCCUGAUUCUUCUGGGAAGCCUUUUUGUAUGUUGUUGCUUAUAAUGGGUGAACUUGCUUCUGGUCCUCUGGUACUUUGACUCCAUAUCAUUUUUGUCACAAGUGUAGUUAAAAAAAAAUCUACUCUUAUGCUGAAAUCACCUGGGGGGGGGGGCGCUCCUUGUUAAAAACACAAAUGCUGAGUCAGAACCUCUGGAAAUAAGGCAUAAAAACUUAAAUUUUAAUACGAUUUUUUUUAACGUACUAGAGUUUGCAAAACGUUGGGUACCAAUGAAUGCAGAAUUCCCAUUAGUCUGGAUUUUAUCUCCUCAGUGAGAUCAGUGGCUUCCAGGGGAAAGUUUUCUUCUGCUAAUCUGUCUUCCCUACAUUGCCUGGCAGAGUAAUAAGCAAUUAGUAAAUGUGCAGUAAGUAUUUGUAGAAUUGAAUUCUUUUAUCAACCCAAAUAUGAGGAGUAAUUUCUUAAGCAUUAUCUUAAUGAUAAUGAUUAUUGUUGUUCUUGAAAACAAUGAACAACACUGACAUAAUUAUCUAGUAAAAGCAGGUAAAUCUACAUUGAAAGAAUAGAAUGAGCAUUAAUAGAAAAUUUGCAAGCAUUGAUGAAACAUAUAAGGAAAACGAUAAUGGACAUUAUAAAACAGGAAUUUAAAAAGAACAAAUCAUGCCAGAAGAAUUUGAUUGCUUUUUUUGAUAGAGCUGCAAGAUCAGUAGAUAAAAGUGAUGUGAAAUUGUAGAUGCAAUCUAUCUCAAUUUUGGUAAAGUGUUUGAUAGUGUCACAUGAAAUUUUCCAUCUUGAAUUAAUUGAAAUUGGCUUUGGUGUGAACCUCUUGUCUGCUAGAUGCUACAAAAUCUGCUAACACAAAAUAAUGAUACAUCUUGUGAUGAGAUAUUUCAGAAAUGAGAACUAAGUUUGCCUUCAGUUGCCAUCUUAGUGUUUGAUUUGGAGACUGUAUUUAAAGAAGUCGGUGACAUUUUCCGUUUGUGUUGCAUUAAAACUUGUUGGAAUCACUAAGGAAAGAGAAAUUAUACUCAGAUGUGUUAAAAUAUCAUAAAUAUUCAUGUUUUAUACCAUUGACAAACUUCGUGCUUUUAAACAUUCUACCAACUUGCACAGUUAUGUUCACAUAUAGCCUUUUCUACACUGUGAAUAUAUAAACAUAUGCCUAUUUCAGACAUAUUAAGGGUUGCCAGAUUUAUCACAUUAGAAUACUAAAUGCACUUAGAAUUCGUUCUCAAACACAGAUGUAUUAGGAGAUCCUAAGAAGUAGUUAUAAAAAAUGCUUAUUCAUCCAGGGUUGCUGGGUCAAUUCUUUUAGGUCUAACCUGCUUUUAUGGACUGAUAGAAGUGUCUAGUGUGAAGUAUAAUAUGGCUUUCCAAGUAGGUAUCUUUGGGUAUGAAUGAGAAAUAGCAGAUUGAAAAGGAUAUUGUAAUCUUCCACUUUCUAUAAUUCUGAGGAAAGUGUUAUCUGAAUUUAAAAAAUCAUGUUUGUGGAAAGCGAUGGGAAUAUUUAGCGAUAAAGGAUUUGAUUCCCAUAGGUCAGAGAGAUGAAAAUAAAUUAAAAAAUAAAUAUUUAUAGUUGAUUAAAAUGGUAACUCAAGGGGUGUGGUGGGUUGAGGGGGUUAUCUAAUAAUAUCCAAAGGAUAUGAACACUGAAGAAUUAGUUACCAUGGUACAUAAAUAUUAAUGAAUGGCAUUAAGUAAAUGAAAAUUUAAAGAGAGUGAUACCAGGGUGAGUUAUUUUAAUUCUAAAACUCUUCUGAGAA